GUCACUAACAACUAUGUCAUUGCAUACCUUUUUCAAUCCUCGAUCCUUUGCCCGAGAUUGUUUAUCUACAUCCUGUAAAGGAUGCUUGACUGGAUGAGUGAAAUGCAGUUUUGAUCCAAAAGCACAGCCAACGUGAAUUCUAAGGAGACUCCUUUGAAUGCUUGAAAGCUUCUAGGUAAAAAUCGGUGAGCUGACAACAUCGCCCCCUCAUCUUCGGCCCGUAGGAGAAGUACAUUGCUGAAUAUGCAACGACCGGGCCAAAGAAAUACACCAGCCCUGGCUGGGCUGGAAGAAUGCAUAAUUCAACAUGGAAAUUAGAAAUAAAUUAAAUAUGAAAAUUACGACCGAAGAAAAAGAGCCAAUUGAUUAUGUAUGCAGCGAGGAAAAAUUAGGGGUCUAAUGAAGAAAAACGCCUUUUCGGACGAAACGGCACGGGGCGGCGGCACUGGAACCAGGUGGCGGGCUCUACGUAGACGAUUUUUUAAAUUUACAUUCUUAAUACCGCCAGACGGUGAUGAGUUUUUAAACGGUCCCGCUUAAGACGUGUACACUCUAAAUUAAUUGAAGUGAAAUGUUCGGUGCCGACGUUUUUCAGAACGAGGUAGAAAAGUGAGAGACGGAAGCUGUUAAAAACGCAAGUAAUUACGAAAGUAACACCAUAUCAAAUCAUAGACAUUAAAGUGUCAGGAAUGGCAUAAUUAGCGCUAAUAGGAGUGAAGAAAAAACGUCAUAUGGCCGACCAUUAGCCAUAUAUUAUUUUAAACUGCUACCGCCGGCGGACAUUAGAUGGCAGUUGUGAGGGGUGUGGUAAUGGUAUGAUGGAUGGUCGCCUUUAGUUGGGGUUAGUUGUCACCCCUUGGCCUGAAGGGACCGCUAAAUAUAACCCGAGGGUGCGCUUGGGGUAUUGUCGGGACCUUGUCAUCGAUACAAUAGCCCAAAGAAGUCAAUUUGUUCAACGCGUUAUGCUCUAAAUGUAAUUAAUUAAGAGAAUUGCCAACGAGACGGCGAGAUGUUGCUAGCUUCAAAUGCGUUAGUAUGUAAUGCAUGAAUUGACAUAAAGUUAUGUCUAAAAAUGUAGUUGCGUUGUAUUGGGGAGUUAAUUUACUAACAUCUCACUGCCGAUGUCUUUUAUUGCCACAAAUGGCUUUUCUUUUCAAUAUAAAAUAAAUGUAAGCUUAAAUUUAUGCAAUACCAACGGGUCGAAUACAUACCUACUACAAAAUUUAAUAAUCUAGAUUUCAAUAUCUUCUCGUUGCGAUUUUGGAGCGGUAUUAGUUUUUCACUAUGCAAUAAAAUAUUAAAAUAUACCGGAACGGUAUGAAAAAGAAAUAUUUGCAGGCUUUAUUGGAUAUAUAAAGGGAAUCCGAAUGUUAUCCAGGAUUUUCCACGUCUUAGGCGCUCUAGGAUUCUCGAACAGCGAGGGGUCUUCACAUAUGUGAAGCGAGUUUCGGAAUAAAAAAGCGUCUUUUCCGUUAAUAAAAAUACGCCUUCCGCGCUUAACAUAACUCUAACGUGUAUCUCAAGAAACAUUUUGCAAAAAGUUUCUGAAUAACAUCAUAAACACACACACACAUACAACGCAUUAGUGCGUUUUGCUUAAAACUUCAUAAGAAAUAAAAUAAAAAUUAAUGAAUGAUGAAAAUUCCAAAAAGUUCAAAAGUUACCGAAAUUAAAAUGCUACAUAGUUUAUUCUAAGCAGACAAUUAACGUAACAGACGUCUACUCCGUUAUUUGAAAUUAAAAACCUUAUACAUUAUUGUAUUUGUUAAAUUGUUAAAAAAAAAACAAAAGCUUAGAAUUUUCUAUGAGAACAUUUUAACAUUGCUUGCAAAGCAAACUGCAGAUAAAGCGUUAC